GGCAAAUUUCCCUAGAUGUCCUUCUGAGGUGAGACCUGGGAGCCCCCAGGAAGCUCUGGGGCCCCCAACUACUCAGCACAAGUGAGGGUGGGAGGAAGCCCUGACUUACUAUUUUUGAUCAGAAGAGAAAUGUGUUUGGAGAAGCCUGGCGUGCCCUGUUUCCCUGACUUCUUUGCUCCCUUGCUCAUGUUUCCACUUAUCCUCACAGGCAGCUGGAGGGGAUGUAGUCCUGUUGCCAUGGUAACCAGCGCAUCAGAAUGAAAGUACUGAAUCAUAAGCCCUUAUUUCUCCCUGGCACCUGCCCUCAGAGGCUCUGGCCAGGACCUCGGAUACCCUCACAGCACACCCACCCACAGAUGGACAUAAAAGCUGGGUGUGCGUGAACACCUUGGGGUGAACCUUACCACACUGUACUCCCCACUCUCUCCACUUCAAUAUCAUCUUCAGAGAUGUACUGGUUGGGGCUGGCGUAGAGAGGAAAGUAUUAUUAGCUUAUUCCCUGAGGCUGAGGCUGGAGGAAGACAAGAAGUACAAUGGGAAGGCUGAAGAGUUAGCCUUGGCUCUGGCAUCUCUGAUUGGCAUUUCCCUUUUUUGUAUACCUGCCGGAACAGAAGUGUGACACCACAUUCUAUCAGUCUCUCUCAAGGAAGGUUGGAGACCUGCCAUUCUGGCGUCUUAUUUACUCUUUACUGUACAUCUCCACUUGCCUCCAGUAAAUCAGGGUUCUCAA